rnacentral:sRNA from 1 species
GCAGACUGAUUCAGCAAUGGAGCCAACGGGCCCAACCCGAGAGCGCUACAAGGAUGGGGUGGUGACCAUCGGCUGUGUGGGUUUCCCUAAUGUGGGAAAGUCCUCACUGAUCAAUGGGCUGGUGGGGCGGAAAGUCGUGAGUGUCUCCAGAACCCCGGGCCAUACCCGAUACUUUCAGACCUACUUUCUUACCCCCUCUGUGAAGCUCUGUGACUGCCCAGGCCUCAUCUUCCCAUCUCUUCUGCCUAGGCAGUUGCAGGUAUGACAGGGAGGGUGGGUAAGGGAAACAGAGAAGGUGGGACAUUGAGGAAGGUACUGAGUGCUCAUUUCCCUCAGGUUCUGGCAGGGAUCUACCCUAUUGCCCAGAUCCAGGAGCCCUACACUGCUGUGGGCUACCUGGCCUCCCGAAUUCCCGUGCAGGCCCUGCUCCACCUGCGCCACCCAGAGGCCGAGGACCCCUCAGCGGAACACCCCUGGUGUGCCUGGGACAUCUGUGAAGCCUGGGCAGAGAAACGUGGUUACAAGACAGCCAAGGCGGCUCGGAAUGAUGUGUACAGAGCAGCCAACAGUCUCUUGCGGCUGGCAGUGGACGGCCGCCUCAGCCUGUGUUUUCAUCCCCCAGGCUACAGUGAACAGAAAGGUCAGAGCCCAGAUAUUCUUCCCCAGCCCUCUGCUAUGGUGUAGGUAAAAGGGUGUGGGCUUUGUGGCUAGAGAGAGAGAGGGUCAAACCUGGAUUCUGUACCUCUUGGCUAGCUCUGUUACUUAACAUCUGUGACAUUUUCCUGAUCUGCAAACUGAGGGUAAUAAUUGACCCUUAGCAUAGUGAUUGUAAAGAUUGAAGUUGAUGUGCACAAA